rnacentral:rRNA from 1 species
UGCGUAGGUGGCGCCGUCAGUGGGGUGUGAAAUUUCGGAGCUUAACUCCGAAACUGCAUUCCAUACUGCGGUGCUUGAGGACUGGAGAGGAGACUGGAAUUCAUGGUGUAGCAGUGAAAUGCGUAGAGAUCAUGAGGAAGACCAGUGGCGAAGGCGGGUCUCUGGACAGUUCCUGACACUGAGGCACGAAGGCUAGGGGAGCGAACG